rnacentral:rRNA from 1 species
GAAUACCGACGACGUCCUAUCCUAGGAGUCAGCCUGAGGGUGAUAACGUCCUCAGACAAAAGGGAAAGAACCCUGACCGACAGCUAAGGUCCCCAAGUUAUGGCUAAGGUGGUGAAGGAUGUGGGAGCACAUUGACAACCAGGAGGUUGGCUUAGAAGCAGCCAUCCUUAAAAGAAAGCGUAAUAGCUCACUGGUCAAGUGAACCUGCGCCGAAAAUAUAACGGGGCUCAAGCCAUACACCGAAGCUUCGGGGUGGUCCGUAAGGAUCGCGGUAGGGGAGCGUUCUAGGUGCAUUGAAAGCGAUAUCGUAAGAAGUCGUGGAGCUGCCUAGAAGUGAAUAUGCUGACGUAAGUAGCGAUCAUGUUGGUGAGAAUCCAACACGCCGAAAGCUCAAGGGUUCCUGGGCCAGGUUCGUCCUCCCAGGGUUAGUCGGGUCCUAAGCCGAGGCCGAAAAGGCGUAGGUGAUGGAAAGCAGGUCAACAUUCCUGCACCGAACAGGAUGGCUGUGAAACGAGAAGGGAC